UACGUAGGUGGCAAGCGUUGUCCGGAUUUACUGGGCGUAAAGAGCGCGCAGGCGGUCGUCCAAGUCGCGUGUGAAAGCCCCCGGCUCAACUGGGGAGGGUCACGCGAUACUGACCGACUCGAAGGCAGGAGAGGGUAGUGGAAUUCCCGGCGUAGUGGUGAAAUGCGUAGAUAUCGGGAGGAACACCAGUGGCGAAGGCGACUACCUGGCCUGUUCUUGACGCUGAGGCGCGAAAGCUAGGGGAGCAAACGGG
rnacentral:rRNA from 1 species